CCAGACUCCUACGGGAGGCAGCAGUGGGGAAUAUUGCACAAUGGGGGAAACCCUGAUGCAGCAACGCCGCGUGAGUGAAGAAGUAUUUCGGUAUGUAAAGCUCUAUCAGCAGGGAAGAAGAAGGACGGUACCUGACUAAGAAGCCCCGGCUAACUACGUGCCAGCAGCCGCGGUAAUACGUAGGGGGCGAGCGUUAUCCGGAUUUACUGGGUGUAAAGGGAGCGUAGACGGUUAAUCAAGUCUGAAGUGAAAGCCCGCGGCUCAACUGCGGAACGGCUUUGGAAACUGAGUAACUGGAGUGCUGGAGGGGCAGGCGGAAUUCCUGGUGUAGCGGUGAAAUGCGUAGAUAUCAGGAGGAACACCGGUGGCGAAGGCGGCCUGCUGGACCGCUACUGACGUUGAGGCUCGAAAGCGUGGGGAGCGAACAGGAUUAGAUACCCUCGUA
rnacentral:rRNA from 1 species